GACGAACGCUGGCGGCGUGCUUAACACAUGCAAGUCGAACGAUGAAGCUGGAGCUUGCUCUAGCGGAUUAGUGGCGAACGGGUGAGUAACACGUGAGCAAUCUGCCCUUGACUCUGGGAUAACUGCGGGAAACUGUAGCUAAUACCGGAUACUUUCACCGGGGGGCAUCCUCUGGUGAUGAAAGAAUUUCGGUCAAGGAUGAGCUCGCGGCCUAUCAGCUUGUUGGUGAGGUAACGGCUCACCAAGGCGACGACGGGUAACCGGCCUGAGAGGGGGACCGGUCACACUGGGACUGAGACACGGCACAGACUCCUACGGGAGGCAGCAGUGGGGAAUAUUGCACAAUGGGCGCAAGCCUGAUGCAGCAACGCCGCGUGAGGGAUGAAGGCCUUCGGGUUGUAAACCUCUUUUAGCAGGGAAGAAGCGAAAGUGACGGUACCUGCAGAAAAAGCACCGGCUAACUACGUGCCAGCAGCCGCAGUAA
rnacentral:rRNA from 1 species